AUUGAACGCUGGCGGCAUGCUUUACACAUGCAAGUCGAACGGUAACAGGGAGCUUGCUCCGCUGACGAGUGGCGAACGGGUGAGUAAUAUAUCGGAACGUACCCAAGAGUGGGGGAUAACGUAGCGAAAGUUACGCUAAUACCGCAUACGAUCUAAGGAUGAAAGCAGGGGACCUUCGGGCCUUGUGCUCCUGGAGCGGCCGAUAUCUGAUUAGCUAGUUGGUGAGGUAAAGGCUCACCAAGGCGACGAUCAGUAGCUGGUCUGAGAGGACGACCAGCCACACGGGAACGUAGACACGGUCCAGACUCCUGCGGGAGGCAGCAGUGGGGAAUGUUAGACAAUGGGCGCAAGCCUUACCCAGCAAUGCCGCGUGAGUGAAGAAGGCCUUCGGGUUGUAAAGCUCGUUUGUCAGGGAAGAAACGGGAUUGGCUAAUAUCCAGUCCUAAUGACGGUACCUGAAGAAGAAGCACCGGCUAACUACGUG
rnacentral:rRNA from 1 species